GCUUUUUGCUGUGAAAGUAUGACUUGUCUGGUCCUUGGUAUCAAUGGCAAAUUCGAAAGCAGCGUUGACCGCACUGCGCCAAAUCAUUGUUUCUUUUUAUCCCUCAUCGUUCUCUCGGCUGUGCUCCUACCAAGCAAACACUAUUUGUGACCAUCACACUAACUUCAGAGGGACGGGGGAGUAACAGGGGCCCAGUGGUUGUUGUUGCCUUGUUUAAGGAGGACUUCCUCCGAGAUCAAGCAGAGUGGCCAUUUUUGUUUGAUUGUCCACUUCCUCCGAUGCGAUGGGGUCGACAGGACAUCUUCAGCUCAGGGUCAUUCUAACAUUAUUUCCGCUUUAUCGACUGUCCAAUUCCCAGCUCACAGCGCGUCGCCUUGACCCGACGAGGCUACGUGUGUUUGUGCGUAUUUUAACUUCCUGUGUGGCACAAAGAUCACAGCUUUUAAAAGGGGAGCGCAGCUUCUCCGAGUUCGCGAGGACUAACAAAAGCCCCCUUUGAAUCAGUGUCCUCAGAGAAAACAUCAGUUCGCAACGUUGUACCCCGAAGCAUGGGGAUAAAAGGGUUUAUUUGAAAGGGGGGGGGUUAAACAAACAUGGUCAACGUACGUCGGGAGGCACGCAUAUGCUCGUGGCAGAUGCCGCUCCGGCACUUGAUCAUUAAGGAAUGCGCCAACUGGUGGAGAUAAUGCGGUGCCAGCUUCCAUUCUACUCCAGUCCUUCCCCUCCUUCCCACCUCCCUCCCAGGAGAACAGUCACUCCCUCACUUCUCCAGACCCGAGCUGCCAAGCGUUCCGACAGGAGAGGCCACAGCUGGAAUGCACCGCUGUCCUCCCUGCCUUCCACCUGGAGGAGCUGAAUAAUGGGCCCGGAUUAGUCAAUAGAAGAACUCUCCAACACCUUGCGGUGUUUCGACGCAGCCAGCCAAACGAAUGCAAACGUUUUUUUUUAAACCAACCAGGUGUGCAUGAAGAAAACAGACGGGCAUUUUUAAAACAAGAAUUUCAAUUAAUGAAAAGAAUGCUAUUUGACGUUCGGAAAUGCCUGUAUGUUUUCUGAAUGCCGAUGGUUGGUAUUGACAAAAUAAUUACCACCUUGACACUGAAUCCUAUUAUAUUCACUGUAAAUUAUUUCUGACUAAUAGUCCAAAUACUCUUUGAUUGCCAAGCGACAAACAAAAUGUUUCUGCAGAUUUUUGGAAUAGAAAAGGUUUGCUUCUUGUUCUCUCCCAAUACAAGGACAUCGGCAAGGAGGAGAAUGAAUUCCGACAAGAGUCUUGUGUGUUUAUUUGUAUUUUCUUAUGGGGGCUCCUAACUCUCUCACACCCCCACCCCUCCCGUUGCUUAACGUCCCCCUCUCCCCGAUAAAACUCUCUGUAGCUCGGGAGCAGGCCAUUCAGCUGGGAUGAGAAUGGAAUGAAAACAAUAGCCCUUAUCAGGCGCUUAUUUACAUUUUCCCAGCAUCGCUGCGCUAGACAGCUUGGCUCGUCACCAAGCCCGCAUCACCCCGCUGGACCCGGACCAACUUCCUCCAGCCCCUGCGAUUCCAGCGCUCCCUGCGGACCCACGCCUGGCACGGACCUCCUCCGCUCUGCAGCGAGCACAGAUAGCAACAUACAAGACAAAACUACAGGAGUGUGUGUCCAAGACGUGCUCCCAUUGAGAGGGGAAUGCUUUUUGGACUGCUAAGCCUGUCUGGGUCGCAUUGUCCCCUCUGGGGCUGGUGCUGCGUUGCUGGAAAAAUGCCCUUAACCUUUUUUGUUUUGUUUUUUUUUCCUCUCCUUUCCCUGAGACUUUUUCAGUUUCCAAGUGGCACUCUGAAAGUGAAGAGUCAUCUGCCAAACUCAGAGUUUAUCUUCCAUCACAAACUAUCAUCUUCCCGUAGACACAUUAUGCGAUCUCAGUGAUGUGGGUGAAAGCUUAACACCGAAAAGAAGAUAGAAACUACAGUCCCCCCUUUCCUGUAUUAAUAACAAAGUAACACGUGCACCCGGAGAUAGACAAGAGAAUAUGUCCGAGUUGUAUGCGCGUCGAUAAAGAAAGUACCGGGCAGGGAGCACUGUCGGAAAGGCUUUUAUCGCUCUAAAGCUGCCUCUCUUCAGCGCAUUGUCUUAUUUUUAUUUUUAUUUUGUCCUUUUUUUGUUUUGAUUGCUUGCUCGCACUGUUUUGCUCAAUUAUUUGGAUCAGACUCACUCAGUCAUCAUGAAAAUGUAGCAGAAUAAUCAAACUCCGCGGUCUUAUGAGAAGUGGCCAAAGAUUUGCACACGAAUGACGAGUCCCUUAAUAUGUGUUUUCUUCAUUUUAUACCUUUUUUUUCCUCGUUGGAUAGCCACAAUAAGUUAUUCAAUAAAACAAUGUGAAAACGAUCGAUAAAACCAUCGUUUUUUUGUCAUUAUCUUAAGGAAUAUUUUGCACGUGUCCCUGAAAUCAUUACGGGGUAACUGCCCCUUUAAGGAACCCGCUGAUGUUUUUAAUGACAUAGUAGUUAGUUGCAGAAUAGAUAUUUCGAUUUAUAUUUAUUUAUUUAUGUAGCUGGACGGUGUCGAGCUGAAACGUCCAUUCUGUUAUAUUGAAAUAUCCAUUGAAAUAAGAAGCAUUCAGAAAUGUGAAAUAUAUUUGUUAAACAUCAGAAUCAGAAUCAUCUUUAUUCGCCAAGUAUGUCGAAAAAACACACGACCGGUAGUCGGAGCCGCUCGAGUACGACUACAGAACACUUUGGAGACAUAAAGACAUUGACCAAAAAAAAAAACACUUACUGAGUAAGAAAGUGUUGCUAGUUAUCUGGUAAUGCUGGUACAUUUUCUUUUUCUAUUUUCCAUUACAGUCAGGUGGCUAACUGAAUUAUGUUGCUAAGCGAAGGUCCACCAUGUCCUCAGUAAAUGCAAACACUCGGCAAAAAUGUCCACCCUGUCGGCAAGCUCACAUAUUUGCGCAUUUUCUGCUGAAAGUUCAUUUAGAAAAAGUGCGGGAGAUCGACCGAUAUGCAUCUCUAACAUCGACUUCUUACAAUGAAUAUGAAGUUUCAUGGCAAUUGUCAGAUUUCUUUCGAAUGUUUCAGAUCAAUCUGUAAAAGGGUAGAGUCGCUCCGUUUGUUGACGCAACACAACGCCAUGUUUUGUCAGGGCCUGACAAAAUGCUUUGUUCGAACACGUCGCCAACGGGUGUUUGAUUACAGAGUGUUGUCAGCGAUGAAAGUGUUUGGUCUGCCUGCCGCCACAUUCCGAGCCCCUCCGCGUGCACCGUUCUCCUGGGAGAAAGACGAUACUCGCGUUUGAGUGUUUGCUGAGCUAAAAAGCCACUGGCAGCGAGGAGAGGACUAUCUCGGAAGAAAUUAGCCACAAGUCAAGGAUAACGGUCCGUGGGGGAUGUUCCGAAGGAUUUGCAGCCUCGUGUUCCACGCUAAGGGGGGGUCUCUUCUCAUGGACCACGGAGGGUGGCCAGCUUCAGCCAAACGAAAGAAAGGCCGAAGAGGCCGAGCCUCGCUGACCGACGAAGACGGACGGACCGCUUUGUGUCUCGGGGCGGGCCGAGCUCGCGAUUCCUUCGCAAUGGCCGCAGAGAAGCAUGGCGCUCCAAAUUGAAUGCAAUUUUUUUCUAUUUUCACCAAAAGGGCCAUUCAAUUUCAGGAAAUCAACUGUAUAAAUAAAUGAACUGUAAAAGAC